rnacentral:rRNA from 1 species
CCUACGGGAGGCAGCAGUGAGGAAUAUUGGUCAAUGGCCGUAAGGCUGAACCAGCCAAGUAGCGUGCGGGAUGACUGCCCUAUGGGUUGUAAACCUCUUUUAUGCGGGGAUAAAAGUGUUCACGUGUGGAGGUUUGUAGGUACCGCAUGAAUAAGGAACGGCUAAUUCCGUGCCAGCAGCCGCGGUAAUACGGAAGGUCCGGGCGUUAUCCGGAUUUAUUGGGUUUAAAGGGAGCGUAGGCCGGUCUUUACGCGUGCCGUGAAAUGUCGUGGCUCAACCAUGGCAGUGCGGCGCGAACUGGAUACCUUGAGUGCGCGGAAGGCAUGCGGAAUUCGUGGUGUAGCGGUGACAUGCUUAGAUAUCACGAAGAACCCCGAUUGCGAAGGCAGCAUGCGGCAGCGUUACUGACGCUGAAGCUCGAAGGCGCGGGUAUCGAACAGGAUUAGAUACCCCAGUAGUC